GAUGAACGCUGGCGGCGUGCCUAAUACAUGCAAGUCGAGCGAACGGACGAGAAGCUUGCUUCUCUGAUGUUAGCGGCGGACGGGUGAGUAACACGUGGAUAACCUACCUAUAAGACUGGGAUAACUUCGGGAAACCGUAGCUAAUACCGGAUAAUAUUUUGAACCGCAUGGUUCAAAAGUGAAAGACGGUCUUGCUGUCACUUAUAGAUGGAUCCGCGCUGCAUUAGCUAGUUGGUAAGGUAACGGCUUACCAAGGCAACGAUGCAUAGCCGACCUGAGAGGGUGAUCGGCCACACUGGAACUGAGACACGGUCCAGACUCCUACGGUAGGCAGCAGUAGGGAAUCUUCCGCAAUGGGCGAAAGCCUGACGGAGCAACGCCGCGUGAGUGAUGAAGGUCUUCGGAUCUUAAAACUCUGUUAUUAGGGAAGAACAUAUGUGUAAGUAACUGUGCACAUCUUGACGGUACCUAAUCAGAAAGCCACGGCUAACUACGUG
rnacentral:rRNA from 1 species